rnacentral:lncRNA from 15 species
CUUUCUCCUUCUGAUGACAGACGCAGACGACAUCAAAAAGAUCACGGAUUUUAGGAUUGACGCACACGGUUUUCCCGCGCACGCCCGCACACUUUCUCACUAAUUGCAUACAUGCCAGGCCACACGUACUGUGUUCCGAUGUUGGAGCAUCGACAUUCUGACGAAAACUCGAUGACUUUCGAACGUGCCAACUCCUUGGAUUUUCACCCUCUGCCGUUGAGCGGAAAGCAAUCCAACUACUGAAGGAAAAAGUCAUCGCAAAGCCUCCCACAAUGAGGAUUGAUACUUAACUUUCUCCGUCCAUGUUUAAGCAUCGCCAUUUGAAUUAUUUACCUGCAUGGGAUCCAUAUUUACCUGGAUAUAAGUUCUUUUGUUGCUGACAAAUAAAUAAUUAUGAUGCCGUCCUAUAACCUGAUGGUUUUGUUGCUGCUGUGUGCAGCUAUGAGUCUUCAGGUUGAAGCUCGUCGAAACUGGCAAUAUUAUUGGCGCCCUUGUUGGCACUGGACUUGUCAAAAGAAUAAUCACCAAGCUUCUAUGCUGAGUACAUCUUCUAUGAAAUCUGUGGCCAAUGCAGUCAACGUUCAGGACCUCAAAAGACAGGAUCUGAACCCCCUGCUCAUCCCGAGGAUCCCCGAUACAUUAGGCAGUCAGGCAGCACGUAAUCACAUUGUUAGCCAGCUGGCCAGCAUUGGGGGAUGGGACAUAGAUCUACACACAUUCCAAGCCACGGCUCCACAACCCUUUGGCGUGACAACAUUCACCAACAUCAUCGCCACGGCCAACCCCAAUGUCAAGCGUCGUCUGGUGCUUGCCUGCCAUUACGACAGCAAGUACUUUGAAGGUCAGGAGUUCAUCGGAGCCACAGACUCGGCUCUCCCGUGUGCCCAGCUCAUCUACUUGGCUCGGUCCCUGGCGAAUCCCUUGAGGCAAGCUAAUGCUACCAACCCUCCCGUCACUCUCCAACUCAUAUUCUUUGAUGGUGAGGAGGCCUUUGUGUCAUGGACAAACCGCGACUCCAUCUACGGAGCACGCCAACUCGCUAAGGAUAUGUUCAACACACCUCAUCCUUAUCCAGGGUCAAACACUAAUCUUCUUGAUGGCAUGGAUAUGUUUGUUUUACUGGAUCUUCUUGGAGCUAGGAAUCCUGCUUUCUAUGAUUUCUUCCAAUCAACAUCGGUCUGGUACAACCACAUGAAGGAUAUAGAGCAAAGACUGAAAAGAGGCAGGGUGUGGUCUGGUUCUUCCACCACUCCUUACUUCAAAGGCAGGCAGUGGUUAAAUGCUGGCAUGCAAGAUGACCACAUCCCAUUCUUGAAUAAAAAUGUGAGAGUCCUGCACCUCAUCCCUUCUCCAUUCCCCUCCGUGUGGCACACGAUGAGUGAUAAUGCAGCGGCCUUAGAUGACAACACCAUCUCAAACCUCAGCAAGAUCUUUCAUGUAUUUGUGACGGAGUACCUUAGCCUCACGGUCCAAUGAUAACUUAAAUCCAUCCAAACAGAUAAAACUUCUAUUUUGGAAUAAGACCGGUUUUUUUAAGGGGAGGGGUUGGGGGAGGAAGAUACUUUACUUUACUGCCUUGUGGGGCUGAUGAUUUGAAAUCAUUUCAUGUUAUAUUCCGUAUAGUACCUUCGUACAUGAAUAAAUUAUAGCAAAUAUCACCUCCUUAUUUUACAUUUCUCAUUGAUUUGACAACACCAUCUCAGACCUCAGCGAGAUCUCUCACGCCUUUGUGAUUUGAGUAUCGUAGCUUGCCCAUACCGUUGAUAUUUGAAUGCAUCCAAAAGAUAUGGCAUCAUCCAUUUUGGAAUAGAAAUCUGUUAUGGAGAGAAGGGGAGGAGGAGAUUUCACUUCACUGCCAUUUAUGGGCUGAUCUUUAAUUAUUUCAUGUUAAAUUCCAUUUAAUUAAAUAUAGCAAAUAUCUCCCUCAUGUUUUUUUUAUUUUUUUUUGUUGGCAACACUUUGUCAAACCUUGGCCUGCCCUUCCCAUCAAAAGUAAAAUGCAUCCAAAGAGAUGUGACAUCACUUGCCCCCCCCCCCUUUUUUUGUUAUUAUUAUUGAUUUUCUCAUUGAUUUUCUCUAUUUUCAUAAUCUCCCUUUUUCUUCUGGUUUUCUUGUCUUAAUGCUACCAGGCAUUUCUUAUGUUAUUUCGUAAGGCAGAUUUAUAGACAUUUUAUUCUGUCAGUCAUAACUAUAUAUGUUAUCAAAUAAUUUUGUAGGGUGGAGGGAAAUUUGAAAUAGGUUACUGCAGGUAUCUCUUAAUUUAAAACAAAUCCCUGACUUGGAUGAAAAAAAUGUGAUAUCAUAGUAAUAGAUAGUCUUUGAAAUGGCCUUUAAGCCCAUGGUGUUGCGUUAUCUGAUGUAGAAUUACAUUCCACAUUCUCUGUGAGGAGUUUAAUUUUUUUUGUAGAAAUUGAAAACAAAGUGAUAUUUUUUUUAUUUGUGAAUCAACUCCUUUUUUUUUAAGUACUUACAGGGUUUGUUUAAUGUGCAAAACUUGUGUAUUCAAAGCUUUAUGAAAUAUAAUUGAACCAUUGAUUUGUAUAUAUUAUUAUUAGCCAUAUUUGUAUGUUAAGAAUGAAAUUCUCAAAUAUACAUGUAUAUAGCAUUGAUUUCUUAAAUUCUGAAUCGUAGCCCUAUAGGGUAAUUUUUAUUGCAUUCUUAUUUAUCCCCAGAUUUAUUUCAAAUUGUAAAGUGUGAAAAGCUUUCAAUAGUAUGAAAAGAAUAUGUAAUUUUACGAUGACAUAAUGUGGACGGUAUUAAAAAAUAAUAUCCAUAAUUUCAA